UGAAGAAAAGAAACAAUGCGAAUCGAAAAGCUAAAGAAAUAAUAUGAUUUUGUUUUAUCAGGUCGGUCACAUCCAUAUUUGGUCAACUUUGAAUAUUUAGUGAACUAUUUAGAAUUUUGGGCUCAGUCUUUACUCUGGGCUUGAAUAAAUACGAGCAUUAUAAAGCCGAGGACGAGUAUUAUAAAGCCGACGACGAGCCUAUCAAAUAUAAUAAGACCAUAAUACAAUAUUUCCCGUUCAGCUCAUGAUCAUGUCUCGCCGUCUCGGCUGUUUGUCUCGGUUGUUUGGUAGUGCCAACUGCCAAGUAACAGAACAUUAAUUGACUUCCAAGUUCGAACUACUUUUGUUGAAUUCUUGUCUUUUUAUAGUCAGCUAGAACUUUAGUAAUAGAUUUAUUUAUAUGUUAAUGUAUAAGUUAGAUUUGGUGCUUGACAUUUGAGUUUACAUUGUUGACUUAAAACCUGCUUUCGAGAAGAUAAAAGACUUUUCUUUUAUUUAUAUACCACUCAAGACAAAUUUCAAACUAUUUUAGAAAAUGUAUUAUAUUCAUAUUUUUUACAGAAAUAAAUAAACUGAAAUUUAUACACAUAUUUAAAAUUCUCUUUAACAAUUAUGAUGUUUAAUUAAGAUUGUGUUUACUGUUCUAUUUGCACAUACUAAAAUUGUAUCACAAACUUAAACGAAUUUUUUAUUGUACGUAAUAAAUUCUACACGAAAACCAAUAAUUAAUUUUUUUGAACCAUAGACAAUAGUUGGUUGCUAGUUGCUACAUUUCUUCGGCGCAGUUGAUGAAAUCCGAACAUAGCACCUUUACUCUUAAGAUAGAAGACUUUAUCACUAAAGCUAGUAAAAAAAGCCUUAAAAAGAUAUUACUAUUAUCAUUUAAAGAUAUAUUAGUAAUGAGAAACUCUAGACAAAAAAAUUAUAGUAACCUACACAUAGUGUGCAUUUUUAAUAUUGCUUCCAACUGGAGGUAUUGAGCAAAAUGAGUCUUCACGAAUCCAUUACUAACAUACACAAUCUUUCUCUUCAUAUUUGGCUCAUAGAGUAAAUUUGUUCUCUACUCACCACACCUAUAUAAAUACAGUACGAAAUCCAUGGCUAAUAUACAUGUUUUUGAAAUAAUUUUCGUACAACAUAUAUAUAAUCAUAUAUUGAACAUGUACAGAAUUUAUCAUAAGAAAAUUACGUGAAAAUAUCAAAACUAUAAAGGUCAAUUAUCUAACUACUUAUAUAGAAAUUCUUGAAAAAGAAACUAAAACCAUAUACAAUUUAGAAUAAUCAGUUUGUUUCAAAUUACUAAGACUCAGCAAAAUAUUGGAAUAUUCAAGCUAAAAGUCCGGUUCAAGAAAAUCAACUGACUAGUCCCGUGGAGACAUGCAAUAAAUGUACUUUACCAUUUUCUUCGUUCAUUUCAUUUAAAUUAUUCUCUCCAUUCCAUUAAGAUAGACUUUUUAGAAAAAAAUUUUUGUUUCACAAAUAUAUGUAUUUAUUGUGUUUUCUAUGAAAAAAUUAUAAACUUCAAAAAAAUUAAUUGAUGCGAAUCGAAAAGCUAAAGAAAUAAUAUGAUUUUGUUUUAUCAGGUCGGUCACAUCCAUAUUUGGUCAACUUUGAAUAUUUAGUGAACUAUUUAGAAUUUUGGGCUCAGUCUUUACUCUGGGCUUGAAUAAAUACGAGCAUUAUAAAGCCGAGGACGAGUAUUAUAAAGCCGACGACGAGCCUAUCAAAUAUAAUAAGACCAUAAUACAAUAUUUCCCGUUCAGCUCAUGAUCAUGUCUCGCCGUCUCGGCUGUUUGUCUCGGUUGUUUGGUAGUGCCAACUGCCAAGUAACAGAACAUUAAUUGACUUCCAAGUUCGAACUACUUUUGUUGAAUUCUUGUCUUUUUAUAGUCAGCUAGAACUUUAGUAAUAGAUUUAUUUAUAUGUUAAUGUAUAAGUUAGAUUUGGUGCUUGACAUUUGAGUUUACAUUGUUGACUUAAAACCUGCUUUCGAGAAGAUAAAAGACUUUUCUUUUAUUUAUAUAC
rnacentral:lncRNA from 1 species